UGGGAAAUGCAAAGAGGGAAG
rnacentral:miRNA from 1 species